rnacentral:rRNA from 1 species
GACGAACGCUGGCGGCGUGCUUAACACAUGCAAGUCGAACGGUAAGGCCCUUCGGGGUACACGAGUGGCGAACGGGUGAGUAACACGUGGGUGAUCUGCCCUGCACUUCGGGAUAAGCCUGGGAAACUGGGUCUAAUACCGGAUAGGACCACUGCCUGCAUGGGUGGGGGUGGAAAGCUUUUGCGGUGUGGGAUGGGCCCGCGGCCUAUCAGCUUGUUGGGGGGGUGAUGGCCUACCAAGGCGACGACGGGUAGCCGGCCUGAGAGGGUGACCGGCCACACUGGGACUGAGAUACGGCCCAGACUCCUACGGGAGGCAGCAGUGGGGAAUAUUGCACAAUGGGCGCAAGCCUGAUGCAGCGACGCCGCGUGAGGGAUGACGGCCUUCGGGUUGUAAACCUCUUUCAGCACCGACGAAGCGCAAGUGACGGUAGGUGCAGAAGAAGGACCGGCCGACUACGUGCCAGCCGCCGCAGUAA